GAGCUACUCCUCCAAAGGGUCGGGCUCAGCCGACCCCAGGACUUGGGGUCGGACUCGACGGCAACAGUCAGCAUCCAAGUCGGUUUUGAUUUCAACGCGGUUCACGUACGGACUCCGCAACACAACCAAAGUCUACCAAGGUUUUCUUGCUCAACCCCGAGUCGAACUCGGGCAUAACGAGGAUUUCGACUCCGACUCAUCCUACUCACCAGAGAUACCAUUAUCUGGCCCAGCCCAAGAGUUGG
rnacentral:lncRNA from 1 species